CCUACGGGGGGCUGCAGUGAGGAAUAUUGGUCAAUGGGCGUAAGUCUGAACCAGCCAAGUCGCGUGAGGGAUGAAGGUUCUAUGGAUCGUAAACUUCUUUUAUAAGGGAAUAAAGUGUGGGACGUGUCCUAUUUUGUAUGUACCUUAUGAAUAAGGAUCGGCUAACUCCGUGCCAGCAGCCGCGGUAAUACGGAGGAUCCGAGCGUUAUCCGGAUUUAUUGGGUUUAAAGGGUGCGUAGGCGGGCUUUUAAGUCAGUGGUGAAAGUUUGUGGCUCAACCAUAAAAUUGCAGUUGAAACUGGGAGGCUUGAGGAUAGUAGAGGCAGGCGGAAUGCGUGGUGUAGCGGUGAAAUGCUUAGAUAUCACGCAGAACCCCGAUUGCGAAGGCAGCCUACCAAGCCAUGACUGACACUGAUGCACGAAAGCGUGGGGAUCAAACAGGAUUAGAUACCCUAGUAGUC
rnacentral:rRNA from 1 species